UUUGUGUUUUUCUUCUGAGUCAACCACGUGUCAAACUCAAGGCCCGCGGGCCAAAUCCGGCCCCUCGGAAAAUGUUGAUCCGGCCCGCAAAUCAAUUUAGGUUC